UGAUCGUGUCAAGCAAGUACUAUUCAGCAGGUCCAGCAAGGCUAGUGUGUAAGGACUUGAACAGCUUCACGGGACAAAGGAACACCCCGUGGAAACGUGGGGCAAAGCCUGAGACCCUCAGUCCAAAGGAGCUCCUACACCUCCCUCUAAGCGCCUUAAAAUCAAUGAAAGGAGCACUAUAGCAGUAAAGAAGGAAGAGGAGUUUUACAUUCAAAAUCAUUUUGUUGGCUCGACAUCUUUCUCAACCACAACCAGAAGGUCGGUUGACUUUUACUUCCCAAAGAUCUGAACAGAAUUGAAAGAUGAAAGACCAUGAUGCUGUCUGAUCACCACGCAUGCUUCUCUCUGACAAGCUUGGAGACAUUUGGACUCACGGCUCCUUCCCAUCUGAUUUAUUAUGCUCUUUGACUUUGGGCAACAUCCCGCAAACUCAACUCUUAAUUACAUAGGCUCUUUCUGGGUUGUGAACAAAACCACAAAUGUUAUUUUCUCCCCAUAUGGGUUGAAACAUCCAGAAUGAUGUCCAGAUUUACCACAAUACUGUGGGCUGGCUGGUUUACCUUGUGGCACUGCUGUCUGCCAAAAUGUGUUGGUGUCUCAUGUUGUCUAACACCCGGGCACCUUAUGGCCUUCCAGCUCACAGCCUUCCUUUCCUCAACAAGUGCCCCCACAUGGCAGUCCUGUGGGUGACCCAGCCAUCUCACGGGGCUUGAGUCCCGUGGCUCUAGCUUCCUUCCCCUUUGUGUCAUUUUAGGGCUCAUAUUCAUGGCUAAACCAGGGAUCUCGUGAUGGGCUGAAUUGCACCAGCCCCAGUGUCUUGCUCACUUCCCACAGAUGAUGCCAACUAUGGGGUAGUCGCAUCUUAUCAGCUUUUAUGAGGGGACAGUGGUACAGUCAACAGCAAGAUGGCGGAAACCUAGCAGUCCCUGUGUUGGGUAAACCUCCUAAGAGCUUCCCUAAGAGGGAAGAUGGGUUUGAAAUCCUUGAAUGAAUUCAUGCUCUUUUCUUGAAAUACACUGAGUUGUGGUAACUUCCUGGAGAGCAGGGUCCCUGCCUUAUGCUGGUUUUCCUUGUGCCCUAUUGAGCCCCUUGCAUGGAUUUGAGGAUCUUGGGUAUUGAGUUCAUUGCUGGGACAGAAGAAAGGUCUUUGGAUGUUUCUUGUUGAGUUCUGUUUCUGUUCCCUGGUACACAGACAUGACGGUGGCGGGGGGACACGGAAAACUAAGCAGACUGUUCAUUGGUGUCAAUUUUAUACUGUCUUUCAUCUGCCUAGGAACAAUGGUAUCUGUUCCAAAGGGACAGAAUAGGAAAUUUAAUUAAUGUGUUUAAAAUUCAAACCCAAAAUACAAGGAUGUGUAAGCCUUAAGAAAACUAACUCUUUGAAUCCAAAUUCACAGGAAAAUUAUUUGUAUCAGGAUGAGGAUGAGUUUAUCUAUUGUGCUUGAUGGAAUUUGCCUGAGGAAAGAACCAGCCCCCCUGCUAGAUGUCAGUCCAACACUGAAUUGCAGGUUGAAGCUUGUUGGAUGAUUACAGAAUUGAGGCAUUAUGGUCCUCACCCUUCCUAAGGGGCAUUUUAAUUCUCUAUAAUGGAUCAAUUGCCUUUAUUCUCCUUCAAGGAGUUUUUACACAUACAACCUGGUCUGUUCCAUCUCCUGGAAUCAGUGUUUCUGCCCUUUGGCAAAGCUGCUUGCAAAGGCUUACUGUUUUUUUUCCUUCAGAUUCAAUGUCAACUGCUGCUUAUUCAAUUUCUAAAUAAGCAAAUAUAUGUGUGUGUGUAUGUUCGCAUAGCUUUAUUGAUCUAUAAUUUACAUAUCAUAAAAAUUUGAUAUUUUGCAUAUACACGAGUACACGAUUUAAUAGUACUUAGAUUUAUGGAAUUGUGCAGCCACCAGCACAAUUCUGUUGUAGAAUAUUUCCAGCCCUCAGAAAGCUUCCUCUUACCCCCUCCCCGUUAGUUCCCACGUUCACCCUUCCCCUGGGCAACCCUGGUCUGCCUCUGUCCCUGGAGAUUUGUCUUUCCCAGACAUUUUGUAUAAGUGGAAAAAUAUAAUCUGUAGAGUUGUUUUCUGUCUUUUUAUUUCAUUUAGCAUUAUGCUCUUGAGGUUGGUCAAGUUGUAGCAUGCAUAAUUCCUUUUUAUUGCUGAAUGUAUUCCAUUGUGUGGACGUACUACAUUUGGUUGAGAAAAGCAUAUUUUGAAUAGAAACUGACACCGGGAUAGAUAGGUUGGGAGUCCAGAGAAAAUCUGAGACACGGUGCCUGCUCUGAAGGUCCUUAACAUUGCAUUGGAGAGGUAAAAUGAAGACAUAUGGAGCAAUAAAAGAAAAAUUUGUAGUUA